rnacentral:rRNA from 1 species
GACGGAGGAUGCAAGCGUUAUCCGGAAUGAUUGGGCGUAAAGCGUUCGCAGGUGGCUGUUCAAGUCUGCUGUCAAAGACCGGGGCUUAACCCUAGAAAGGCAGUGGAAACUGGACGGCUGGAGUGCAGAAUGGGUAGAGGGAAUUCCCAGUGUAGCGGUGAAAUGCGUAGAGAUUGGGAAGAACACCGGUGGCGAAAGCGCUCUGCUGGACUGCAACUGACACUAAGGGACGAAAGCUAGGGGAGCGAAAGGG